GGAUGCGAUCAUACCAGCACUAAAGCACCGGAUCCCAUCAGAACUCCGAAGUUAAGCGUGCUUUGGCGAGAGUAGUACUAGGAUGGUGACCUCCUGGGAAGUCCUCGUGUUGCAUUCC
rnacentral:rRNA from 3 species